rnacentral:rRNA from 1 species
GACGAAGGGGGCAAGCGUUGUUCGGAAUUACUGGGCGUAAAGGGCGCGUAGGCGGCCGCCUAAGUCAGACGUGAAAUCCCCAGGCUUAACUUGGGAACUGCGUCUGAUACUGGGUGGCUUGAGUUCGGGAGAGGAAUGUGGAAUUCCAGGUGUAGCGGUGAAAUGCGUAGAUAUCUGGAGGAACACCGGUGGCGAAGGCGGCAUUCUGGACCGAAACUGACGCUGAGGCGCGAAAGCCAGGGGAGCAAACGGG